GCACCCUGCGCAUUCGAAUACUCAAAUGUUUUGUCAACUUUCGUUAGCCUUCGGGCGAUAUGAGUGCCGAUGAUCGAAGCACGGUCGGUUACCUAAAGAAGAAACGAUGAGAAUAAAUCAGACUGUUCUGUGACUCGAAACGUAUCGGUUGUUUUUAAUGUGUUCCGCUCACGGUCUUAUAAAGUUAGUUCCUACUCUUUAUCUACCUAAAACUUGUCUUUAAAAGUGGCGACGAGGUGCAAAGGGCUAUUAAGUUCCGAAGAAAGUAAAAUACCGGAUGCAAUAGCACAGAAGCAACGAGUAGCUGAUCUUACUUACCCGGUACACGCUAUUGUACCACCUCGACGUGCGAUAGGUGAAGCGAUUUGGAAAGCGAACGAGUUUACUUCUGGCUAAUCAAUUGCGACGUAAGGCUGUUACUAAGGUUUGGAACCUAGUUUGGUUCAAUUACCGGCGUUUCAUACCAGUGCUCGGUAACACCAAAGUUAGCGGUUAGUGGUUCUAUCACACGUGCACCAAAUCGAUUGACUAGUAGUCAGUAAAAAUCCGGAAAAAAAAUUGACAAAUACCGACGAUCCCGUCGGUGCGGCUGGUCGACGUUACUGCAACGUUACGGCACGGCUCAGAGGGGAGCCUAUUUUGUCAUUAGCGAUACAGCGGUAAAUUGUUUUUCCCAAACGAUUGGAUUCUGGUGCUUGGUACGGUAGAGUGGUGAUAGACGAGGGUCGAAGGAUUUGGUUGAUACGUGCUGGAAGCGUAGAGGCCAUGGUGCACCGCAAUCAACUUAAGCUUAUGAAGGAUGGUUCACAAUGGCAACGGCCAAACGUUGUCAUCACACGUAGCAUUCCCGACAGUACAACGAAUAACGGACAAACGGACUUGAAUAUGAGACACGAUGUUUACGAAGAAGGCUCAAGUGGGACCCCAACUGGGAGUACAUGCGAUAGAAAGCGGAAACGUCCAAUUUCCGAAGUGGAUACACAUGAACUUAGGAGGUCGAAGCGCAACAAAAAAUCGAAUCGGAACGAUGAUUAUUUAUAUGAGUAAUUUCAUUUAUCUUUUGCCAUAUUAACCUUAUAUGUAUUCAGAAUUGAAUUUCGAUUGUUUUGUUUAUAAGAUGAAUUCUUUAUUUUUGAUUAAUGUCAGUUCAGAAAUGUUGUAUGCUAGACAAUAUUCUAAAAGGGGAAGAACUGUAAGACCCCUCGCGCGCACCCUGCGCAUUCGAAUACUCAAAUGUUUUGUCAACUUUCGUUAGCCUUCGGGCGAUAUGAGUGCCGAUGAUCGAAGCACGGUCGGUUACCUAAAGAAGAAACGAUGAGAAUAAAUCAGACUGUUCUGUGACUCGAAACGUAUCGGUUGUUUUUAAUGUGUUCCGCUCACGGUCUUAUAAAGUUAGUUCC